CUUUAGAUAUCCUAGAGGCGUAGAAGCUUCUAAUGGUGGGUCUGUUCGCCCUUUAAAAUCUAACAUGAGCUGAGUUCAGAACGGCGUGAGCUAGUUCAGUUUCUAUCCUCUUUUAAAAAUGAGCUAAUUUUGUACGAAAGGACUUUUUCGCUAAAGCAACGCUUUGCCCUGGCUCUGUCAUUGCUUAAAUAAUGCUACGCAAUAAACUGAUUAGUUUAUAAAAAGGGUUG
rnacentral:rRNA from 1 species